AUUGAACGCUGGCGGCAUGCCUUACACAUGCAAGUCGAACGGUAACGCGGGGGCGAACCCUCGGCGACGAGUGGCGAACGGGUGAGUAAUACAUCGGAACGUACCCAGUAGUGGGGGAGUAGCUCGGCGAAAGCCGGAUUAAUACCGCAUACGACCUAUGGGUGGAAAGCGGGGGAGUCGCAAGACCUCGCGCUAUUGGAGCGGCCGAUGUCGGAUUAGCUAGUUGGUGAGGUAAAGGCUCACCAAGGCUACGAUCCGUAGCUGGUCUGAGAGGACGACCAGCCACACUGGGACUGAGACACGGCCCAGACUCCUACGGGAGGCAGCAGUGGGGAAUUUUGGACAAUGGGCGCAAGCCUGAUCCAGCCAUGCCGCGUGUGUGAAGAAGGCC
rnacentral:rRNA from 1 species